GUACGUACGAUUUUUUUUCUUCAAAAUGCACAGGUGAAUUUUUUUCUUUUUCGCCAACUUUUGUAGUUGAUUCGGGAAUUAAGAUGUAUGAUGAUUGAAAGUAUAAAAAAAAAUAAUAAUUUCUUUCAUUAUGGAUAGGUAUUAAAAAAUGCUCUAUCUACUAUGUUAAAUUAUUCAUCGCAAAUACAAUACUAUAUAAUAAGCAUCAGGUAAGUGAAUAUAGUACAUUAUUGUUUUAAACAAAAUUGUUUUUAGUUGUUGCCUAUAUAAUAUCAU